GGCCAUAAUAUAUUGAAACACCGGUUUCCAUAUAAUCACCGAAGUUAAGCAACGUCGCGGCUGGUCAAUACCUAGAUGGGUGACUGCUUGGGAAUAUCAGGUGCUGUAA